rnacentral:rRNA from 1 species
AUGUAAUGUUAUUCCUACAAAUUUAAUGCACCAUAUCCCAUUAGAAUUCUGCAAUUAAGUACGCUUGGGAUAGAGUAGUAUUGGGAUGGGUGACCUCCUGGGAAGUCCUAGUGUUUUACAUA